GCAGAUUCUUCCAACGUAGCCUUCAAAUCGUCUUCCUGAAUCAAUAGAAGAAAUAAAUUUAAUUUAAUCGCAUUAUGAAAAGUUUGAGUGGUAAAUUUUUAGCAGUUACUACGUCAUCUACAAGCGAUUACGCUACGUUAAAAAAAAUAA